rnacentral:rRNA from 1 species
UGGGGAAUAUUGGACAAUGGGCGCAAGCCUGAUCCAGCCAUGCCGCGUGAGUGAUGAAGGCCCUAGGGUUGUAAAGCUCUUUCACCGGUGAAGAUAAUGACGGUAACCGGAGAAGAAGCCCCGGCUAACUUCGUGCCAGCAGCCGCGGUAAUACGAAGGGGGCUAGCGUUGUUCGGAUUUACUGGGCGUAAAGCGCACGUAGGCGGACUAUUAAGUCAGGGGUGAAAUCCCGGGGCUCAACCCCGGAACUGCCGUUGAUACUGGUAGUCUUUAGUUCGCGAGAGGUGAGUGGAAUUCCGGGUGUAGAGGUGAAAUUCGUAGAUAUUCGGAGGAACACCAGUGGCGAAGGCGGCUCACUGGCUCGAUACUGACGCUGAGGUGCGAAAGCGUGGGGAGCAAACAGG